rnacentral:rRNA from 1 species
CCUACGGGUGGCUGCAGUAGGGAAUAUUGGGCAAUGGCGGAAACGCUGACCCAGCCAUGCCGCGUGGAGGAAGACGGCUUUCUGAGUUGUAAACUCCUUUUAUUGGGGAAGAAAACGGUUCUUGCGAGAACCUUUGACCGUACCCAAGGAAUCAGCACCGGCUAACUCCGUGCCAGCAGCCGCGGUAAUACGGAGGGUGCAAGCGUUGUCCGGAUUUAUUGGGUUUAAAGGGUGCGUAGGCGGCUGAUUAAGUCCGGGGUGAAAGACAGUGGCUC